AAUUUGCACUAGGGGUGCUAUAGUUUGGCUGAGAUGAGAGCAUUUGCUCCGAUCCCUUAACACUCGAUCCAGGUAAUACUGGCGUGAGGAAGUGCGGUGACCUUUGC
rnacentral:ncRNA from 2 species